rnacentral:misc_RNA from 1 species
UUGUCGCAGCCCGACUUGAACGGAGCUCAUUUUUUUUGCGGCUGGAAAAUGCGAUGGCAAAAAAUAGCGGGAGUGGAAGGCGGAAAUAGCU